GCUGGGCAUGGUGGUGCAUGCCUGUAAUCCCAGCUACUUGGGAGGCUGAGGCUGGAGAAUCGCUUGAACCUGGGAGGCGGAUGUUUCAGUGAGCUGAGAUUGUGCCACUGUACUCCAGCCUGGGUAACACAGUGAGACUCUGUCUCAA
rnacentral:SRP_RNA from 2 species